UUUAAAUUUAGAGUUUGAUCCUGGCUCAGGACGAACGCUGGCGGCGUGCUUAACACAUGCAAGUCGAGCGAUGAAACUUCCUUCGGGAAGUGGAUUAGCGGCGGACGGGUGAGUAACACGUGGGUAACCUGCCUCAAAGUGGGGGAUAGCCUUUCGAAAGGAAGAUUAAUACCGCAUAAUAUAGGAGAAUCGCAUGAUUUUCUUAUCAAAGAUUUAUUGCUUUGAGAUGGACCCGCGGCGCAUUAGCUAGUUGGUAAGGUAACGGCUUACCAAGGCAACGAUGCGUAGCCGACCUGAGAGGGUGAUCGGCCACAUUGGAACUGAGACACGGUCCAGACUCCUACGGGAGGCAGCAGUGGGGAAUAUUGCGCAAUGGGGGAAACCCUGACGCAGCAACGCCGCGUGGGUGAUGAAGGUCUUCGGAUUGUAAAGCCCUGUUUUCUAGGACGAUAAUGACGGUACUAGAGGAGGAAGCCACGGCUAACUACGUGCCAGCAGCCGCGGUAAUACGUAGGUGGCGAGCGUUGUCCGGAUUUACUGGGCGUAAAGGGUGCGUAGGCGGAUGUUUAAGUGGGAUGUGAAAUCCCCGGGCUUAACCUGGGGGCUGCAUUCCAAACUGGAUAUCUAGAGUGCAGGAGAGGAAAGCGGAAUUCCUAGUGUAGCGGUGAAAUG
rnacentral:rRNA from 1 species